rnacentral:rRNA from 1 species
AUUGAACGCUGGCGGAAUGCUUUACACAUGCAAGUCGAACGGCAGCACGGACUUCGGUCUGGUGGCGAGUGGCGAACGGGUGAGUAAUGUAUCGGAACGUGCCCAGUCGUGGGGGAUAACGUAGUGAAAAUUACGCUAAUACCGCAUACGAUCUAUGGAUGAAAGCGGGGGAUCGCAAGACCUCGCGCGAUUGGAGCGGCCGAUAUCCGAUUAGGUAGUUGGUGGGGUAAAGGCCCACCAAGCCAACGAUCUGUAGCUGGUCUGAGAGGACGACCAGCCACACUGGGACUGCGACACGGUCCAGACUCCUACGGGAGUCAGCAGUGGGGAAUUUUGGACAAUGGGCGAAAGCCUGAUCCAGCCAUUCCGCGUGCAGGAUGAAGGCCCUCGGGUUGUAAACUGCUUUUGUACAGAACGAAAAGGUUUCUACUAAUACUAGGAGCUCAUGACGGUACUGUAAGAAUAAGCACCGGCUAACUACGUGCCAGCAGCCGCCGUAA